UACGAAGGGGGCUAGCGUUGUUCGGAAUUACUGGGCGUAAAGCGCACGUAGGCGGAUUGUUAAGUUAGGGGUGAAAUCCCAGGGCUCAACCCUGGAACUGCCUUUAAUACUGGCAAUCUCGAGUCCGAGAGAGGUGAGUGGAAUUCCGAGUGUAGAGGUGAAAUUCGUAGAUAUUCGGAGGAACACCAGUGGCGAAGGCGGCUCACUGGCUCGGUACUGACGCUGAGGUGUGAAAGCGUGGGGAGCAAACAGGGAUUAAGAA
rnacentral:rRNA from 1 species